rnacentral:lncRNA from 1 species
ACACGUUACAACUUACAGGACUCAAUUUCGACUUACGGAGGCCGAGUUAUCAGUCUGUAGGCAAAACUGACCAAUACUUAAGCAAAAAGUCAAAAAAGUGGCCGAAACUCGCCUCGGCCAUCGUAACGACACGCAAACACAUACAUAGCAUCACGUAGGUAUUUGGCACAAAUUAAAACUUACGAGACUCGAUUCCAACAGACGGAGGCCAAGUUAUCAGCCCGUAGGUAAAACUGACCAAUAGUUAGGUAAAAAGUCAAAAAAGAGGCCAAAACUAACCUUGGCUGUAGUAACGACACGCAAACACAUACAUAGCACCACGUAGGUAUUUGACACGUGUUAUAACUUACGGGACUCGAUUCCGACUUACGGAGGCCGAGUUAUCAGCCCGUAGGCAAAACUGACCAACACUUAUGCAAAAAGUCGAAAAAGAUGCCAAAAACCAGUCUCGACCGUCGUAAUGAGACGCAAACUAAUACAUAGCACCGCGUAGGAAUUAGGCACGCGUUAUAAUUUACAGGACUCGAUUUUGACUUACG